UACGUAGGUGGCAAGCGUUGUCCGGAUUUACUGGGCGUAAAGCGCGUGUAGGCGGCUCGUUAAGUCUGUCGUGAAAUCUCCCGGCUCACCCGGGAGGGGUCGACGGAUACUGGCAGGCUUGAGGGAAGCAGAGGAAGGUGGAAUUCCCGGUGUAGUGGUGAAAUGCGUAGAUAUCGGGAGGAACACCAGUGGCGAAGGCGGCCUUCUGGGCUUUUCCUGACGCUGAGACGCGAAAGCGUGGGGAGCGAACCGG
rnacentral:rRNA from 1 species